rnacentral:lncRNA from 1 species
CUUCUGCAGAAGCUAGACGGCUCAAUCCUAGAUGAUUCUUACAUCUCUGUCUCCACAGAAGGCCAGCAUUACAAUUGCCAUCAUAGGAUCCAGGUUUUUCUUCUUAAUUAUGGACACAGCCAUACAGUUACACAGACACACAGACAUGCACACACACAGAGACACACAGAUGAACAGAUGCAAAGAUUAACAGACACACACAGACACACAGAAAAGUUCAGAUCAGGUGGGCCAUGUGUUCUGAUGAAGACAUGGUAACAGUGGGGAAACUCAGUCACCUGUGAGGAGAAAGAAGCUUUGGUUGAUAGUUUCUGCCUGCACUGCUAAUAUUGAAAAUAGAUCAGGAGAAGGAUUUACCAUUUGUAUGGGUCUGAAGCACAGGGUAUUGGACAUGGAUGGCCAUCUCUUGUCAAUAGUACACAUUCACUUAAGACUUCAGCUAUUCCUUACAGUUUUGGGUUCAUUUUAAAAGUCCAACAGUCUUAAAAAACAUUGAAGACUUUAUAAGUUUAAUGUCUAUUAAAAAUUCAAAAUCUCUUAACUGUAAGAUCCCAUUAAAAGCUGAGUUAAAUAUUUACUAUUCCAGAAAGAAAAUAUUUUGAUAUGGAAACACACAAAUCAAAGAAAGACCUAAAAUUUAGCAGUAUAGCUUAAUGUCUGGCAUCUGGAACUCAUAAUCAUCUGGAUUCCAAAGAAAUUGGGACAGUUUGCUUCUCUGGUUCUGCCAUCUGCAGAACACACAGCUAGUCUCAUAAACUUAAGUUGGCUUGAUUUCACAUCUGCUGCUGUCUUUGGUGGAUGGUCCAUGGUCCUAGACUCUCCAAUAUCCUGUGGUUUUCUCUGCAACUGAGGCUUCAUGUUUCCAGUAGCCUCUUCUUGUCUCUUCUCAAGUACCCUGACCCUGAUAUGUUAUCAGUCCUUAUCUUCUCUCCAGGGUCCCAUAAUCUUGCAUCUCUCAUGUCUUCAAAACCAGGUCCAGGUCAGAAACAUACCCAUUGCCAAGCUUGGCUACCAGCAUUGGCUCCUCUGGACCAUAGAUUCAGCUGACUCCCAAGGAAAUACUUCUCAGAAGAUUUCACUUCAAUGA